AGCAGUGUGGCCUAGUGGAAAGAGCACAAGCAUGGGAGACAGAGGAUCUGGGUUCUAAUCCCAGCUCUGCCA
rnacentral:tRNA from 1 species